rnacentral:lncRNA from 1 species
UGAAGCAGUAAAUUUAUUUUAUUUGUCUUAGAAAUAUUCUUGCAUGCUAAGUUCUCCAAACUGUCUUUUUAAAAAUAAAUUUGCCUAGGAGUUAACAGAGAAGAGGAAAUAAUAGCCUACUAAAUACUAAAUUGAUUAUCCUUUGAGAGUCCUCAUAACAUCUUUCAAAAGAUUACAUAAGAUUACAUAAGACGUUGGAUGGCAUCUACAUGGCGAUACGUUCACCAUUCCAAAUGGAAGAAGGCUCAGGGGAAUUUAAAGUUUCAAGACCUUCAGACUCAUCCAUGUCUGCAUUCUCUAGCCUGAGAUCCUGUUCCUUCUCCACUGGUGUCUUUAGCUAAAAAACCUGGGGCAUUGAGCAUUAAUUGGUGCUGAAAGUUAACCCUUACAAUAAAUUCUUAUCUAUGGUCCUCA